rnacentral:rRNA from 1 species
UCCCAUUCGGAUUGUAGUCUGCAACCCGACUACAUGAAGCUGGAAUCGCUAGUAAUCGCAGGUCAGCAUACUGCGGUGAAUACGUUCCCGGGCCUUGUACACACCGCCCGUCAAGCCAUGGAAGCCGGGAGUGCCUGAAGUAUGCAACCGCAAGGAGCGUCCUAAGGUAAAACCGGUGACUGGGGCUAAGUCGUAACAAGGUAUC